ensembl:lncRNA
CCAAGAACAGCAGGCCUUGGUCUGGAAGCUGACAUACUUGCUAAGCACUCCUUAGAAGACCUGACUCUGGGAAGGAAGCCACCAGGACAGGCUGAGCUCGGAGCGGGAGGGCCCUCACAUCUGGGUUUGGCUGCCUCCUCUUCUGCUGGAAAAACUCAAAGCCAUCCAUCUAGGGACUCCCAGGAACAUGUCCCCAGCUCCCAGCUCCCCGGUGAAGCUCAGGCUGCUGUGUUUGGUAAUUCAGGAAAAGAUAAUCGCUAAGGAAGUAGGUGGAGUUUCGGUAGGAGGACGAGACGAAAACGGCAUGGCCCGGGCAUCAAGAUUUGCCAGGCAGCCUUCUGCCAGCCGUGGGCAUGUCCUUCCCCCAGCUGCCAAUCUGCUGGUCAGAUUAGGGGCACACGCGUAUGGUGGCAGAGGCAGGGAAGAAUGAACCGCAUCAUUUCUGACAUGUGAGCACCAGAGCUGUGAGCAUAUGGCCUGGAAGCCUCUCCAGGAAUUUCACGGGACAUUUCAUGCAAGUUGAGACCGACGCAUUCAGGAACCUGGAUCCAGAGAGAGAAAAAGAGAAAUUGCAGAAAAUAUUUCCCUUUGAAAUAUUCUCAUCAAAUGUGACGGAGAAGAGUUAAUAUCUGUAAAGAGCUCACUGGAAUCAUUAAGAAAAAGGUGAAAACUUCAAAAGAAAACUGGAAAAUAACAUGAACUUAUGAUUCAUAAAAGAAGCACAAAUAACCAGUAUACUUAAAGUGAAAUUUAUCCUUGCUGUUAAUAAACAAAUGCAAAUUAAAAUAUGACCUUUUUUUACUUACAUUUUAAAAGAAUAACAUUUAAUGUUGAUGUGAAUGCAGUGAAAGGAACAUCCUUUGUAUAUUGCUGGUGAGCAGGAAAAUGGGUACAUACCAGCUGGAAGUCAAUCUGGCAAUACAUACUAAUAGUUAUAAAAAUAGCCAUAAUCUUUAACUCAGUAAUCCCACUUCCAUGAAUAUGCACAAAAUAAACUAAGAUCAUCACUUACCUCUGACAAAACAUCUACCUCUGUGAAUAUAAUUCAUGCUGCUGAUAGCUUUUCCUGACAGUUCCACAGGUCAUUUCUUGUAUACUAGACUGAAACUUAAAUGCCUCCUUUUUUCCUCCACAAAUGAUGCUGGGAAUUCAUAUGUGUAUAGCUCCCCUCCUAUUCAAGUAUAGGUUUGGGGGAUCCUCAAGCAGAACCUUGUAUUUAUUUUUGGUUGAGUCAGCCCAUCAUGUGAUCAUUUGAAUCCUACACUUGUCAUUCCAAACAGCCUCAGCUUUGCCCAGCUUCGCGUCAACUUCGAAUGACCUUUGUCAGCCUGCCACGUGCACCAUCACCCACCUUCCUAGGGGGUGGUGUAGUGACACAGCUGAGGACGGGCCCAGUAGCAGGCCACUAGACACCUCCUUCCCUAUUGACUCCUAUCCACUAAACAGCUAAUGGAAUUGUUCCGCCAAUCACAAAUCUACCUUAUUUAACUAGGAUUUAGACACAUUCCUCUGUUUUGUCCACCUGGUAACCACGAAAAGUAACAUCAGGCCAGGCGCUGUGGCUCACACCUGUAAUCCCAGCACUCUGGGAGGCCAAGGUGGGCGGAUCACCUGAGGUCAGGAGUUUGAGACCAGCCUGGCCAACAUGAUGAAACCCCGUCUCUACUAAAAACACAAAAAUUAGCCAGGUGUGGUGGCGGGUGCCUGUAAUCCCAGCUACUUGUUAGGCUGAGGCGGAAGAAUCACUUGAGCCUGGGAGGCGGAGGUUGCGGUGAGCUGAGACCAUGCCACUGUACUCCAGCCUGGGCAACAAGAGCGAGACUCCAUCUUAAAAAAAAGAAAGGAAAAAAGGAAGGAAGAAAGAAAAGAAGGAAGGAAGGAAGGAAGGAGAAGAAAGGAAGGAAGGAAGGAAAGAAAGAGAAAAG